AAGAACCUUACCAAAUCUUGACAUCCUUUGACAACUCUAGAGAUAGAGCUUUCCCCUUUGGGGGGACAAAGUGACAGGUGGUGCAUGGUUGUCGUCAGCUCGUGUCGUGAGAUGUUGGGUUAAGUCCCGCAACGAGCGCAACCCUUAAGCUUAGUUGCCAUCAUUUAGUUGGGCACUCUAAGUUGACUGCCGGUGACAAACCGGAGGAAGGUGGGGAUGACGUCAAAUCAUCAUGCCCCUUAUGAUUUGGGCUACACACGUGCUACAAUGGACAAUACAAAGGGUAGCGAAACCGCGAGGUCAAGCAAAUCCCAUAAAGUUGUUCUCAGUUCGGAUUGUAGUCUGCAACUCGACUACAUGAAGCUGGAAUCGCUAGUAAUCGUAGAUCAGCAUGCUACGGUGAAUACGUUCCCGGGUCUUGUACACACCGCCCGUCACACCACGAGAGUUUGUAACACCCGAAGCCGGUGGAGUAACCAUUUGGAGCUAGCCGUCGAAGGUGGGACAAAUGAUUGGGGUGAAGUCGUAACAAGGUAACCGUACCU
rnacentral:rRNA from 1 species